rnacentral:rRNA from 1 species
GACGAACGCUGGCGGCGUGCCUAAUAUAUGCAAGUAGAACGCUGAAGGAGGAGCUUGCUUCUCUGGAUGAGUUGCGAACGGGUGAGUAACGCGUAGGUAACCUGCCUGGUAGCGGGGGAUAACUAUUGGAAACGAUAGCUAAUACCGCAUAAGAGUAGAUGUUGCAUGACAUUUGCUUAAAAGGUGCAAUUGCAUCACUACCAGAUGGACCUGCGUUGUAUUAGCUAGUUGGUGGGGUAACGGCUUACCAAGGCGACGAUACAUAGCCGACCUGAGAGGGUGAUCGGCCACACUGGGACUGAGACACGGCCCAGACUCCUACGGGAGGCAGCAGUAGGGAAUCUUCGGCAAUGGACGGAAGUCUGACCGAGCAACGCCGCGUGAGUGAAGAAGGUUUUCGGAUCGUAAAGCUCUGUUGUAAGAGAAGAACGAGUGUGAGAGUGGAAAGUUCACACUGUGACGGUAUCGUACCAGAAAGGGACGGCUAACUACGU